UACAGAGGUGGCAAGCGUUGUUCGGAAUUACUGGGCGUAAAGGGCGCGUAGGCGGCCUUGUAAGUCCUGUGUGAAAUCCCCCGGCUCAACUGGGGAACUGCACAGGAGACUGCUUGGCUUGAGUUCGGGAGAGGGAAGCGGAAUUCCGGGUGUAGCGGUGAAAUGCGUAGAUAUCCGGAGGAACACCGGUGGCGAAGGCGGCUUCCUGGACCGACACUGACGCUGAGGAGCGAAAGCCAGGGGAGCAAACGGG
rnacentral:rRNA from 1 species